rnacentral:rRNA from 1 species
UACAGAGGGGGCAAGCGUUGUUCGGAAUUACUGGGCGUAAAGGGCGCGUAGGCGGCCUUCUAAGUCGGACGUGAAAUCUCCGGGCUCAACCCGGGAACUGCGUCCGAUACUGGAAGUCUUGAAUCCGGGAUAGGGAUGUGGAAUUCCAGGUGUAGCGGUGAAAUGCGUAGAUAUCUGGAGGAAUACCGGUGGCGAAGGCGGCAUCCUGGACCGACAUUGACGCUGAGGAGCGAAAGCUAGGGGAGCAAACGGG